AGCUCCAAUAGCGUAUAUUAAAGUUGUUGCGGAUAAAACGCUCAUAUUCCGAGUUUGUGGGGGAUAUUGGGGGUAUCUGAAAGGAUGUUUCCAGUGUGCUUCAUGUUUGAUGGUAGCAAUACUAUCGAUUACUUUGAGGAAAAUAGGGUGUUCAAAGCGGGCGAGAGCUUGAAUACUGCAGCAUGGAAUAAUGGAAUAGGACUUGCCGUCUUAUUUUGUUGGUUUGGAGGGGCGAGUAAUGAUUAAUAGGGGCAGUUGGGGGCAUUGGUAUUUGGUAGCUAGAGGUGAAAUUCUUGGAUUUACCAAAGACUAACUAGUGCGAAAGCAUUUGCCAAGGAUGUUUUCA
rnacentral:rRNA from 1 species